CAUUGAAACACCCGUUCUCAUACGAUCAUUGAAGUUAAGCUAUGUCGAGUUUGGUCAGUAUCUAGAUGGGUUACCGCUUGGAAAUACUAGUUGCUGUGA